rnacentral:rRNA from 1 species
UACGAAGGGGGGCUAGCGUUGCUCGGAAUUACUGGGCGUAAAGGGCGCGUAGGCGGCACUGUUAGUCAGGCGUGAAAGUCCUGGGCUCAACCUGGGAACUGCGCUUGAUACGGCAGAGCUAGAGGAUGGAAGAGGCUCGCGGAAUUCCCAGUGUAGAGGUGAAAUUCGUAGAUAUUGGGAAGAACACCGGUGGCGAAGGCGGCGAGCUGGUCCAUUACUGACGCUGAGGCACGAAAGCGUGGGGAGCAAACAGG